CCUGCAAAACGAAUCUAAGUUCCCCCUUAACCCUCUUUUUCCUCCCCAGACAAACCCAACCCAAAUGUGAUAGUUAAGGGCUAUUUAAAGGGGGUACAGCCCCUUUAAAAAAGGACACAACCUCCACCAGCGGAUAGCCCCUGUACGCCCAACCCCGUGGGCCUUAAAGCAGCCACCCCCAAAGAUUGCGUCAAAGCUCCAUCAACCAAAAACCCCCAAAACCAAUGCGACUCCCUACACCCACAGCAGGCCAACCUAUAACAAUAGAUGAAUCAAUGCUAGAACGAGUAACCAGGACACUAUGUCCCCCCAAGCGCCAGCCUGUACACCAUUAACAGUAAAACCUCAAUAAUAACCACCCCCACCAUUGAACCCACCCUGUCAACCCAACUCAGGGGCGCACACUGGAGUGAUCAAAAUCUACAAAAGGAACUCGGCAAACCUAAGACCCGACUGUUUACCAAAAACAUAGCCUUCAGCCAAACAAGUAUUGAAGGUGAUGCCUGCCCAGUGACACUAUGUUUAACGGCCGCGGUA
rnacentral:rRNA from 1 species